GAACAGUCCUCAGCUUUCUGCCUCCUGUAUAAAUGGCUGUGAGUAAGCGGAAAAGUCGUCAUGUGCCAGUCUACUGCCCUUAUGUGAUGGAAAGCGAGCGAGAGCGAUGAGACCAUGAGCAUGGUUGAUGCCACACAAAAGCCAUCCAUCUGGCAGCAGAAGAGCCAUCACUGUCAGUGAGAUAAGUAUCUGUUUUGGUGAGGGCUCUGCUCAUGGCCCACGUUGAUGCUGGUAGGGAUGCCCCAUUAGCUAGGGCUGGGUUUGUAAGAAAAGGUUCCUGACUAGCUGUGGUUGUAAGAGAGACAAGGUUCCCAAUUUCAGGGGCUGAUGAUUCCUUUGGUCAGGAGCAGUGUGUCCUAAGCAGCAGAAGGUAGCAUCUAGAGGAUGACUCCAGGUAUCGAGUUAUUUGCCUUCCUCCCACGUUUCUCUGUCUUCUCUAUUGUGUUGGCCAACACUCUCGCUCUUUCAUUCUCCCUUCCUUGCCUUUCCUGGUGCCAUCUCCCUAUGUAGGAUGCAGGAAAAGGGUGCUAGGUGUGCAUCCACACAGUCUGUCUUUGGGACCCAUGAAGACUUAGGAGGGUAUGAAAAUCAUGCAUAUUAGUGGGUGCCACAGUGGAGCAAUGUCUGUCGGUGUUGACUUGGUCUUUAAUCAUCGCCUGGGGCUGAUGUAGACCAAAUGAGAGAGGGAGGCAGAGAUUACGGCAAGAUUUCACAUACCUUCAGAGCUUUGUGUAAUGCUGACUCACCCUUGGCUUUUGCAACUGCACUGCAGAGGAAUUGUCCAGGAGCGCUGUCUGGAGGAGAGACUCUCAAAAGUGGACCUGAACAUCCUUCUAAGCAGACGUGAACAGUCCUCAGCUUUCUGCCUCCUGCAUAACUGGCUUACCAAGGGAAAAGAAGUCACGUAUCAGUCUACUGUCCUCAUGCGAAGGAAAGCGAGACCGACGAGACCGCGAUCAUUGUCAAAAUCAGGCAUUAUCUGUACAUCUGGGAGCGGAGCAGUCACCGCUGUCAGUGAGAUAAAUGUCUGGUUUGGUGAGGGAUCUGCUCAUGGCCCACCUGGCUCCAGAGGAAUCAUCCAGGAGCCCUCACCGGACGAGAAUAUGCAGAAGUGGACCUCAGCAGCCUGGACAUCCUUCUAAGGAGACAUGAAUAUUCCUCAUCUUUCUGCCUUUUGCAUAGCUGCCUUACCAAGGAAAAAGAAGUCACGGUCAGAGUCUACUGUCCUCAUGCGAUGGAAAGCGAGCGAGAGCGAUGAGACCACGAGCAUUGUCGAAAUCAAGCAUUAGCUGCGCAUCUGGGAGCGGAGCAGCUACUGCUGUCAGGGAGAUAAGUGUCUGUUCUGGUGAGAGCUCUGCUCACGGCCCACCUGGCUCCAGCUGUUCUUGCAGAGGAAUUGUCCAGGAGCCCUAUCUGGAGAAGGAAGAGGCAGAAGUGGACCUGAGCAGCUUGGACAUCCUUUUAAGCAGACACGAACAGUCCUCAGCUUUAUCUCUUGCAUAACUGGCUUACCAAGUGAAAAGAAGUCAGUCUACUGCCCUCAUGCGAUGGAAAGCGAGCGAGAGCGACGAGACCUCGAGCAUUGUUCAUGCCAGGCAAGAGCCGUCCAUCUGGGAGCGGAACAGCUGCCACUGUCACUGAGAAGUGUCUGUUUUGCUGAGGGUUCUGCUCACGGCCCACAUGGCUCCAGGUAGGGACACCCCAUUAGCUGGGGCUGGAUUUAUAAGAAAAUGUUCCUCACUAGCUUUGGUUAUGAGGGAGACAAGGUCCUCAUUUCUGUGUCCAGUAGCUGUGUUCCCUCCUCAGCAGAAGAUUGGAUCCAGGAGGAUGACAC